rnacentral:rRNA from 1 species
GCCAGCCGCCGCGGUAAUACGUAGGUCCCGAGCGUUGUCCGGAUUUAUUGGGCGUAAAGCGAGCGCAGGUGGUUUAAUAAGUCUGAUGUAAAAGGCAGUGGCUCAACAAUUGUGUGCAUUGGAAACUGUUAGACUUGAGUGCAGUAGAGGAGAGUGGAAUUCCAUGUGUAGCGGUGAAAUGCGUAGAUAUAUGGAGGAACACCGGUGGCGAAAGCGGCUCUCUGGACUGUAACUGACACUGAGGCUCGAAAGCGUGGGUAGCAAACAGGAUUAGAUACCCUGGUAGUCCACGCCGUAAACGAUGAGUGCUAGUUGUUUGGGGCUAUCCAGCCCUAAGUGACGCAGCAAACGCAUUAAGCACUCCGCCUGGGGAGUACGACCGCAAGGUUGAAACUCAAAGGAAUUGACGGGGGCCCGCACAAGCGGUGGAGCAUGUGGUUUAAUUCGAAGCAACGCGAAGAACCUUACCAGGUCUUGACAUACCAGUGCUAUUCUUAGAGAUAAGAAGUUACUUCGGUACACUGGAUACAGGUGGUGCAUGGUCGUCGUCAGCUCGUGUCGUGAGAUGUUGGGUUAAGUCCCGCAACGAGCGCAACCCCUAUUGUUAGUUGCCAUCAUUAAGUUGGGCACUCUAGCGAGACUGCCGGUAAUAAACCGGAGGAAGGUGGGGAUGACGUCAAAUCAUCAUGCCCCUUAUGACCUGGGCUACACACGUGCUACAAUGGUUGGUACAACGAGUCGCAAGCUAGUGAUAGCAAGCUAAUCUCUUAAAGCCAAUCUCAGUUCGGAUUGUAGGCUGCAACUCGCCUACAUGAAGUCGGAAUCGCUAGUAAUCGCGGAUCAGCACGCCGCGGUGAAUACGUUCCCGGGCCUUGUACACACCGCCCGU